rnacentral:lncRNA from 1 species
GCCUUCCAACCCUGGGCAGUCAGUCAUCUGUGUUCUGCAACAAGGUGGCCCUGCCUCCACCCCUGGCUGCUUCCUCCCGGAGGUCAUGUGUUGCAGAAGAACCAGCCAGGAGAGGGCAGUGCACAACCAAAGAAAGUUCUCUCAAAAGGUCAAGGUCACCAGAGUGCCUGGGGCCUGCCCAGUGUGGCCACCUGUGGAUAUCAGGUUCCACCCCAGUGGCA